UACGGGGGGGGCAAGCGUUGUUCGGAAUUACUGGGCGUAAAGCGCGCGUAGGCGGCUUUUCAAGUCAGGCGUGAAAGCCCCAGGCUUAACCUGGGAACUGCGUUUGAUACUGUUAAGCUAGAGUGUGGAAGGGGCUACUGGAAUUCCGUGUGUAGCGGUGAAAUGCGUAGAUAUCAUUUGGAACGCCAAUGGUGAAAACAGGUAGCUGGGGCUGUGCUGACGCUGAGACACGAAAGCCAGGGGAGCAAACGGG
rnacentral:rRNA from 1 species